CAGUCGCCACGGUAAUACGAAGGGUGCAAGCGUUAAUCGGAAUUACUGGGCGUAAAGCGUGCGUAGGCGGUUUGUUAAGUCUGCUGUGAAAUCCCCGGGCUCAACCUGGGAAUGGCAGUGGAUACUGGCAAGCUAGAGUGUGUCAGAGGAUGGUGGAAUUCCCGGCGUAGCGGUGAAAUGCGUAGAGAUCGGGAGGAACAUCAGUGGCGAAGGCGGCCAUCUGGGACAACACUGACGCUGAGGCACGAAAGCGUGGGGAGCAAACAGGAUUAGAUACCCCUGUAGUCCCUGUCUCUUAUAC
rnacentral:rRNA from 1 species